GCGCCCGUAGCUCAGGUGGAUUCAGAGCGCUCGGCUACGAACCGAGAGGGCGGGAGUUCGAGUCUUCCCGGGCGCGCCA
rnacentral:tRNA from 1 species